UCAAGUGUCAUAUCAAUAGGAAAAGCAAGCAGCGCAUAAAAAGAAAAUUUCAGCUCCAAUUGUAAUACAAAUUUCUUGCCCAACAAUUAAUUAAAAGUAUUAGAAUUGAAAGAAAUUUAUAAGUGUUAAUUGGAGCUACAUAUUUAGCUAAAAAAAACCAUUAUUAUAUAUAAGCGCUUCUCAUGAAUAUAACUCGAGGGUAAGCACGUUCCAGCAGAGCCGUAUUGAAAAAGUUUCGCUUUUUGCCGACGACGAAGUUCGAGUCGUCGACGUCCCUCCCAGAAAAAAAGUAAUCUCAGUAAAAGGAGGAACUCUCAAAGCCAAAGGGUUGGUUUUCAAUUGAAAUUGCCAAGAUAACUUGGUUAAAAUUUUAGUUGGAACUAACCAAAAUAGCGGCAUAUCGUUAACCAACGGAGUAUUGGGAGAAUCUAAAAAAAAUUUGUAGACGUUUAUUGCGGCGGCACAACGAAGACGAAGAGGAAAAAAAUUGGGCGAAAACUUUGCAUUGAUGGUAAUGCAUGCUAGAAAACCGCAACGUGUGAACGAUGGCUACUUUGAGAAGCAUCAGUCUCAUUCGUAUCAGAGUUCCAAGUACAGUUCAAAGCGCGAUUAUGAACGCGAUCGCUCAUCAAACUAUCGCGAUCGCGAUCUGUCGCCAGCUGGCGGUGGUCCAUUGAAUAAUGUUUCGCAAAGAUUAUCGCAAACUGCUAUGAAUAAUGGUAACAGCGCAUCGUAUCGCUCACAAUCACCUGAAGUAGAUUCACCAUCGUCAAGAGGGCACGGUUCGCACGAUAUACGCGAUCGUGAUCAUCGUGGUAGCGAUCGUUUCAGUUAUAUGCAAAAAAUGAGGGAUCGUGAUCGCGAUGUCUAUAAAAAGGAUAAAUAUUCUACAGAUAAACGCGAUAGACGGGGCGGUGGCAGUGGUGGUGGUAACGAUCGUGAUUCAGAAUCGCAUCGCACCAAUCAUGAUAGGUUGGAUCGCCGCGGCGGUGGCAGCGGUAGUGGAAGUGGAGCAAAGCUUUGUUCUUCCAGUAGCGGCGACAAGCGUUCCGGCUCGACAGAUCGUGACCGAGACCGCGAUCGUGAUCGUGGCGAUUUGAGAGAUAGUAAACGUGAGCGUGGCUCCGAACGAGAUCGUGAUAGAGAACGUGACCGCGAUAGAGAUCGUGAUAGAGAUCGCAGUGAUCGUGGUGGAGGUGGCGGCGAUCGUGAACGCGAUCGAGGAGGUGGAGGAGGCAGUGGUGGCGGUGAACGCAGCGAUCGGGGCGAACGUGUGGCAAGAUGUGGCGAUUGGAGUGAACAUGUCAGUUCAUCUGGAAAAAUGUAUUAUUACAACUGCAAAACUGAAAUCUCACAAUGGGAGAAACCAAAGGAAUGGAUUGAACGAGAACGAACACUGGCACGCGAUCAACAUAGGGAAAAAGAUUACCGGGACAAAGACCGCGACAGAGAUCGUGAGGAUCGUUUUUGUAGAUCAGCUUACGCGAAACAUUCCAGUUCUCGAGGAAACUCACGGCUGAGGUGGAAUUAUGAAAACGAUGGCGGACCGCCAAGUCAUCGAAGGCGUUUGGAUGGUCGCAUCGCUGAAAAUCCCGAUAUGGACAUAAGUCCCGGUGACUCCACGCCAACAUCGGAGGCUAGCUAUCCGCUGACCGGCGCGCCCACAGUUCAUGGUAUGGUGAAUGUGCAACACAAUGACCUAUCAAUUCCAACAUCAACCGUUGGCCUGCCGAAUGCAUUACCGCGUUUAGCUUCGCAUCCUAACGCCAGCACUGUUAUGUCAUCCUCCUCCUCCGCGUCCGCUUCUGCUGCAGCGGCCAAUGCAGCAGCCGCUUCAAUGCAUUUUUCCGCGUCAUCCGCGUCAGCGCAUGGUUCGGGCGUUGUUGUAGGCGGAGCAACAAUGUUGCCCGCCACUGGACUCGCCUCUGUGCCAUCGAGUACAGGUGUACCAGUGAUGGUUGCUGGUGUGCUGCAGACACAAAAUAAUAGUAAUCAUCGAAAAAUGGAUCCAGUGACAAUGUUGCAACAGCAAGCGCAUUUAGCGUCAACAACGUCGCCAAAUGUGGAUCAUCAUUUGAACUCGAAUGCACCGGGACCGCCGAAAUUGGGUACAAAGGAGCAACAGGAAAUGAUGAUGAGCUCGCAACAGAAGGCGUUAUUAAUGCGACAGCAGCAACAGCAGGCGGCGUUACAUCAUCAUCACCAACUUUCACAACAUGGUGGCAACGAGGCGGUACAUAUGAUGUCCAAUACCGGCACUUCCAUGGAUGUUACCAAUCAUGCGGCCUCAUCAGCGGUGAUAGUUCUAAGAGAUAAUUCGGUGAACUCGCCACACUACAAUUUAGCCCAUACACAUGGCAUGUCGCCAAUGGGCUACAAUACAAAGAGUCCUAUCACGGGUGUUGGCGGCAGCGGUGGUGUUGUUCCUGUUACCGGUCACAGUAACAAUGUGGGCGGUGGUGGCAUAAAUAUGAGCUCCGGCAUAAAUGCUGGCUCAUAUGCCGCCUGUAACACACCGUACGGUUUAAAGACUGUCGAGGGUAGCAGUGGCGGUGUCAUGAACUCGAUUGGCAACAGCAACAAUAGCAUUCACUGUCCCUCAUCUAGUUUAGCGAAUGUCAGCGGAAACGCUGGCGGUAGUGGAGUUAUUGGUAUUCUGCCUGGCGAAGGACCACCGACGCCAACGCAAGAAAUGGACCUUAAUGUAGCGGCAAUGGAACAGCAACAACGUAAACUGGAAAACACUUCAUCCGCCUCGUUGAGCACACUACAAAGUUGUGUAGCGUCGUCUGUGCAAGCCGGUCGUUCACAGGGUCCAGAGAUUUCACCGAAAUUAGCAAAGUAUUUUCGUGCUGAUUUAAUAACACAUGUCACCAAUUGGCCAGCUGAUAUCUUGGAGAAACAGGUAAUGCAAGAGGCGCAAAAGUGUUCCGAAGAAACGCAUUUGUAUGGGGAUUUACAGUGUACGAAAGUGUCGGCCGAGUUAAAAUGUGCUAGAAGCUUAGUUAGAAUAACUGAAAUCACAGCAACACUACAAGAACAAAACUAUGUGUUGUGGUUGAUAUGUAAACAGGCUUAUUGGAAAAAAUCUUACCAAAAGAAAGCAGGUCGUACUGGCUGUACAUUAUUGUUUGAUGAGACAAACUGGUGCCAUGCAGUUCCCUUAUGUCCGCUAUUGGCAGAACAAUUUAUAACGGUUUGACGUUUUAGGCACAAUAACGUUUAUAGGGAUUAAUUUUGCAGGCCAGAAAGCACUAUUGAAUCUUAUAUGUGAGGAUUUAGUGGCAGUUUGCAAAGCGUGUAGCAGUCUUGCUCUCUGCUUGCUGCAAUUUUCAACAGUUUCUGCAUAUUUCGCUAUGAUGAAGUCUGUGAAAUAAGUCCACUGCACAGUCAUAAGGGGCUAGCUGUUAUAGAAGACGUACCUGUGCUGCCACAGUUUAAAUCAUAAUAAGCAGAAAAACUUAUUUUAAGACGAAUUAUGUAUCUUCGCCAACAAAUUCGUCGAAUAGAAGAAUCAAAAUCACAAAACUCAUUUAUGUCUGAUGAUCUUUAGCCAA
rnacentral:misc_RNA from 1 species